rnacentral:lncRNA from 1 species
CAUUCCUGAAUAUGUUGGCACAGAUGCAUCAGACUGAAAAAUCUGCAAGGGACUGCAGUCCUUCCUGCAUGCCACAGCAAGUCAGUUGAGAAGUGCCAUAGAACUAAAUACCUUUUUUGUCCUACCAACCUUGAACAAGUUCAGAUUUGUGUAGCUUAGACAGAUCUUCCGUAGUGUGUAACAGAGGCUGUACAGUGGCUCAGAAUCUGCACACUGGUGUCUCCUAUCAUACCCUUCCUUUCUCACUCAGUUAUGUGACAGCAUAGCACUUGCUGCAGAAAUGCUUGUGCUUCAGCAGGGGGUGCCAGUGGGAUUGUGGAGCAGGCUCAAGGUCCUACUAGUCCCCUUGCUCUUCCUCUUCCUUGAGAGAGGCAAAGAGAAUUGAUGGAAUAAAGGCACAACUGGCCUCACUACUGUUAUUUUGCCUGGAACAAUGAACUGAGAUUCACUUCGUUCCUCUCAAACCCUCCAGCUUGUAUAAAAGAUUUCAUGCAGUGUUUUCACUCUAUACACAAUGGCCAGUCAUGGUGUUUUUUUGUUUUGAUUUUUUUUUUUAAUGCUUGCAAUGUUCUUAUAAGUAAUCAUUUCCACAAUACACAUUCCUAUGACAGAUCAAAAAUCUUCUUAAAUUCAGCAAAAGUUAGUUAAGUUUUAUUUAUUUUUAUUUUUAUGGGUUAGAUACAGUGUAACAUCUGGGCUAAGGUAGGAAGCAAUCAGAGAAGUAGAUUAUGUUAGGACAAAAAUACUUAAUGUGUCUUCUUUUAUUUUCCACUAAGAUUGCAGUGUCUCUGAAUUCUGUACACUUGCCAGACAUUGCCACUGAUAUCCGAAUGUUUAUUGAAGGUGACAUCUGGAUAUUUGUUGGUAACUUCCCAAAUGAAACCUGCAAAUCUGAAAUGUACUCAAGAUAUUCAGAGUGUCACAGCCGCAAGAUUUCACCACAAGAGGCAUAAUUGAGAGGAGCACUAGUGAUAAGAGUUGGGAAAUGAAUAGUGUGGGAGAAGAUCACCUGAGUUUCAGACUUACCAAGACCAUCUUCAGCACUGACUCCCAAGAAGGAGUAUGUUUUAAAAUGUGUAUGUAGUAUGUUUUAAAUUUAUAAAUUGCUGGAAGAUGUACAUGGUCAUCUUCUACCAGCUUUUAGUUGGAAAACAUAAUCCUUCUUGUGCAAUAUAAUAUGAUUUAAAUAAAAACCAACAAACAGAAAAGAGUUGAAGUUGU